UACGGGGGGAGCAAGCGUUGUUCGGAUUUACUGGGCGUAAAGGGCGCGUCGGCGGCACCGCAAGUCGACUGUGAAAUCUCCGGGCUUAACCCGGAAAGGUCAGCCGAUACUGCGGGGCUAGAGUGCAGAAGGGGCAACUGGAAUUCUCGGUGUAGCGGUGAAAUGCGUAGAUAUCGAGAGGAACACCAGCGGCGAAGGCGGGUUGCUGGGCUGACACUGACGCUGAUGCGCGAAAGCUAGGGGAGCGAACGGG
rnacentral:rRNA from 1 species